rnacentral:rRNA from 1 species
AGUGAACGCUGGCGGUAGGCCUAACACAUGCAAGUCGAACGGCAGCACAGUAAGAGCUUGCUCUUACGGGUGGCGAGUGGCGGACGGGUGAGGAAUACAUCGGAAUCUACUUUUUCGUGGGGGAUAACGUAGGGAAACUUACGCUAAUACCGCAUACGACCUACGGGUGAAAGCAGGGGAUCUUCGCACCUUGCGCGAUUGAAUGAGCCGAUGUCGGAUUAGCUAGUUGGCGGGGUAAAGGCCCACCAAGGCGACGAUCCGUAGCUGGUCUGAGAGGAUGAUCAGCCACACUGGAACUGAGACACGGUCCAGACUCCUACGGGAGGCAGCAGUGGGGAAUAUUGGACAAUGGGCGCAAGCCUGAUACAGCCAUACCGCGUGGGUGAAGAAGGCCUUCGGGUUGUAAAGCCCUUUUGUUGGGAAAGAAAAGCAGCAGGUUAAUACCCCGCUGUUCUGACGGUACCCAAAGAAUAAGCACCGGCUAACUUCGUG